AUUUCUGAUAGCUCGUAUCCAUAUCUUUCUCUUUAUUGAGAAGAAAUGUUGAAUCGUUUUAAGCUGAAAAAAUGCAAUGUGGUUCAACCAUAUUCUGGAGCAUAUUCUGAUCAAACUUCAGAUUCUGUCAAAUCGCGUUUCUAUCGCUUGAACAUUCCGCGCGAGAUUAGAAACAAGGCAUAAGAAAUAAAAUAAUCUGAGAGGUGGCGCGAAGAUAAUAAAAAGAGAAAAGGAAAACGUUUUGUCUCAACGACGAAAAAUGCUCUCUUUAUUGAAUUGACGAUCUUAUAACCACAUAAAACAAAACAUAUUUGAUAAUUAAAUGGCUGUACAAACACAUUGAUUUGAAUCAUGCGUGGCUAUGUUCGUAACGUGUGCAACUUCAUGCGACACGAGGCCCGAAGAGUAAAGUUGCGUAAAGUUGAUUGAGUCUGUUUCCCUCUUGCCCUCUGGCGCCCUACGUAAACGCACAUCCCCGAAAUUUAAAUGUCUAGCGAAAUCCGAUUAGGAAUGAAAAAUUCAAGCGUGGGGAUUGAAUGGAAGAGCGGGAUAAAGAAAAUCUUUAGCAAUUGGUUUUUAAUGAUCGUUUGCUUCUCUCUUUUAUUGAGGAUAACUUCUUUGAACGUCGCCUUAAACUAGGCAAACUCGGCUCGGUUCAGCCGGGUCCCCGGUCGCGUCGCGAACUUCAACUCGCGUUCGAUUCGCGGCCAGCUUCGAGUCGCGUGGCACGAGGUCUAUACGUAAAAAUCGUGGAACGCUUUAUAUGUUAAAAGUCGUGGAACGCAAACUCGAAAAUAAAUUACAAAAAACGGAAGAUGAAGAAAUCGAAUCGGAACGGAGUCCCUCGGUUAUGGCAGGUCAGCCUCGGAGGUCUCCGUUUAAUUGCUACAAAAAUCGCCGGGAAUCCUUUUCUCGCAUCACGAGGCGCACGAUUCUUACUCGAGAAAGAAAAUCGCGCGUCUCGUGCCACUUCGCUCGAUGAGACACGAAUGAUCAAGGUACGCCGGAAAAUUCGCAUCUGAAUUCGAUUCUUAUAGGUAUACCGAGGGGAUACUCGCGCCGUCGUCCAACAAAUGGUGAAGCGACGUGAGCGAUAUACGUUCGCCUACAAUACGAAAAAAGGAUUCACAAGUUCUCGUUGCAGCAAGAAAAAGGACAACCUCGUAGAGAGAAGAUCUUCCAAGCACGAGAGAGCCUAUUCCGAACGCGACCGGGAGACGCGAGAGCGACAGACAGACGAGAGAGCGUUCGUCAACAAGAAUCAUCUCCGUUUCAAGAUCAUCACUCAAUUGCAUGUGCGCUCUGUGAAUGGAAGAGAGGCGGGCGAGUGAAAAGAAUCGCGAGCAAUCAGGAGUGCGUCACAUUUAAUUAAACUGAGUAAGAUCAUGUUUUCCUCUCUCUUAUUUACAUUUUUUAAUCUAAGGUAUGUCACUGUGACGAUUGUAGAAAACCAUUUUCUCGUCGCCAGAAUAAGAAGAAAGCGUGAGAGAACGAGAAAAGAGAAGAGGCGAGAUUGAGAAAGAAAUGAACGAGUAGAGAUGAUCCUUAUCGAGGCAAACGAUCAAUAUCAGAGACAAAUCAGGUAUGUUCUGGUAUAUACAUGUUGCAGAAAUUUCUCAAAAUAUAUCUCAGAACAUAUCCGAGUGUUAUAUAUCUCGUUAUCGUUUCAAAAGCUUAGGACAAUAAAACAAAGUAGUAAUAUCUCCCUCAUUAAUCAUCCUACCACCUGAGUGGAUUAGUUCGGACUAUGCGCUUUCCUCUUCAGCAUGGACCGAUCGUUUGGAGCAACUUCUGAUUACUUCAUCCAAAUUGUCACACUACGUCGCGUGGGACUGCUGAGACUGUGGCAGUUUGCUGGAGCUUUUGUGAUGACUGGACGUGUGUCUUUCCUGAAAACGACAAAUAGAAUUGUGACGUCUUGCUCCGUGAAGAAAUGCAAAGAUGAGCGAAAGUCUUCCGCUAGUAAAAAAGAAUAAGCUAAUGCGUCACACGAUUAAGUAUGCCGCGUACAUUUCUAGCGUGCUCUCGAUGUAAUUGAGUCUAUUAUUUUGAGGACGUUGCGCCGUAUUGCGAGUCCAGAUUUGAAAUAUGAAGACGUGGAUCUUCUAAGCUGGAUCUGACGUGGCGUGUAUCAGUCUUCAACAGGAUUGUCAAAAUAAACGACUCAAUUUUCACAUUUCCGUGAUUAAACGCAGCGCGAAUUCGCAUCUUCUUUCAUUUUUUUUUUUUUGCGAAUUCUCAUUUCUUUCUAUAAGGAUUCGAUUUCGGACGGAUCGAUAGGAAUGGAUGGAUUGAGAAAAUGCGAGUGACAAAAGAAUGCAGUGGGAGUGUUGGGUCAGGAUUUCUGUGGUGGAUCCGCUCUUUGCCUUGGACUUGUCCCCUCGUCUAUCUUAGGCCAACGUAGCAAAGCGGAGUGAAGCUAAGCGAAUCAGUAAAAGCAUGUUUGUUUGCGAAUUCUACACAUGCAAUGUUCAUUCGUAUUGUAAAAAAGUGUAAAGUGUGCGAGCGCAUGCUCAUACUCGCGCUCAUGCCAUCAUACACGCACGCUCACACACACAUACACACACAUGACGCAUGCACGCACGCACACACAUGUCGCAGAACAUUACAACGCUAUUAUAGCGAUAAUAUAAUCCAGCGAUAACAGCAAUAUUUUGCUCGUAAUAAUAGUAGUGGUCGUGAUGUACCCUUCACCAAGCGACAAGAACAAAUGACAUGGGUAACGCCAAUUAAUCUCAUUCCGUUGACUUUUGGUGAACUUGUUUCGCGUGUGAUUUGUGUUGGCAAUCUCAUUGCAAUAUGGUACUCGUACAAUAUACUCCUAAGCCGUGAUGUUAGUACAUAUAUACUUAAAAAAAGAAAAAAAAGAAAAAAAAGAAAAAGAGAUGCGGCGGUACGGUGUGCGAUAUUGCAUAUAUACAUAUAAUAUGUGUGGUAUUAAGAAAAAGACAAAAUAAUCACUAAGGUACGUUUCGUUUGCACAGUACGUUUAUUUGGAUUGCUUUAAUAUUUCUUUUUUUUUCUUUUUCAUCGACCACGUGACGCGUACGAUCCCUGUUGUAUAAUUCUGUGUGGCUCCCAAUUAAGGAUCCCAAUCGUUCAAUUUCUCGAUCUGUUUUUCGCGAGCAAACAAGAAUGAAUAUUCAAUAUUCGUUUCGUUGAAAGGCGUUUUCAAUCUACGUUCAAAACUACGUCAACGUUGAUCGUUCCUGCGCUCGUCUUUCAUUCUUCAAGACAGGUAGCGUACGCGACGAGUGGCGAAUAUACAUCUUUUACAGAAUUUACGCAGUGUGUUUCACGCUACACAUAUAUAUAUUCUUCUAUAUCUUUUUUUCUUUUGGCGAUUUACUUGUAUCCUAAAGAUUUGUGUUUCUCAAUUCAUUCGGCGCUCACGCGCGUGAGCUCGCAUCUGUACGUGAUGUUUUAGAGGCAAUGAUCACUCUUUUUGGAUCGAUGCGGCAUUCGUCCGUUGACAACAGCAUUGCCGAUACACCAAUUUGACAAUUUUCAUUAAUUCGAAACCUAGAUCAUUCUAUUAUGAUAUACAAUAGAGAAUCCCAUUUUUUCAAUUGAAAUAAAGGAAAGUACCUCAAAGACUACUAAAAAAAUUUUCAAAAUUUAAGAUUAUCAAAAAUAUCCGCGAAACGCUGGAAACUUAUGUACAUCUCUAAUACAUAUAUGUGUGUGUCACCUAUCUCUUUCUCUUUCGUUCUCUCACUCUCUCGCAUACUCGCUCACUCCCCUCUCUAUCUCUCUCAUUGCUACAUUACCGUUGCUAUCAAUCACAGAUUCUCUUGUCGAAUUUCAGUUAUUCUACCUUUAAAAAAAAAAGAAAAAAAA
rnacentral:lncRNA from 1 species